UGCCGUUUGGGCUUUAGGGCCUU
rnacentral:snRNA from 1 species